CCCCACCGUGCUGGGCUGUCCUUCCAGGAACUUCAUGGAGGGACCGAGGAGGUGCACAGACCAGGGCUGCCUACUGCCCGGGUUGCAUUGCAGGUGGCGUCAUUUCCUGUUGUAUGGCUGCUCCGGCCAGCAGUGGUAAAGAAUGGAGCGGCCUCGUGUUAGACUGAGACACCGUCUGGGGAGGCAGCAGGGCCGGUGCGGGUUGGGGCCUCUGAGGGGCCAGGGACGUGACUCACAUUUACCUAAAGGUGACACUAAAUGGAAAAUUGUGACAAGGUACCACAAUGAUUAUGGCAUGAUUUUUUAUUUAAUAUACUCCAAUGAAGCUGUAACAAGCAAAGUGCUUCCAAAUACCACAGGAACUUGCAGAAAAAAAUAAAGUAUCAAAUGGACUGAAAACAAUCAGGGUCUUACAAAAAUGACAACUACAACCAAAAAAUAGCUGGACAUUGUAGGAGGUGCCUGUAGUCCCAGCCACUUGGGAGGCUGAGGCAAGAGAAUCUCUUAAGCCCAGGAGUUGGAGGUUGCUGUGAGCUGUCUCUGAUAAACAGCAAGAGAACAGCACAAUCCAUGGUGGAAGGCUGCCAUGUGUCAGGUUUCUGAAAAGGAUGAGAGCCAGAGAGCCCUAAAGUCUGGGGAGAAAAGAGGAGAUGAAACAAGAUGCACUCCACACCCCUGGUCCACAAAACCAGACU